rnacentral:rRNA from 1 species
AUUGAACGCUGGCGCCAGGCCUAACACAUGCAAGUCGAGCGGAUGAAGGGAGCUUGCUCCUGGAUUCAGCGGCGGACGGGUGAGUAAUGCCUAGGAAUCUGCCUGGUAGUGGGGGAUAACGUCCGGAAACGGGCGCUAAUACCGCAUACGUCCUGAGGGAGAAAGUGGGGGAUCUUCGGACCUCACGCUAUCAGAUGAGCCUAGGUCGGAUUAGCUAGUUGGUGGGGUAAAGGCCUACCAAGGCGACGAUCCGUAACUGGUCUGAGAGGAUGAUCAGUCACACUGGAACUGAGACACGGUCCAGACUCCUACGGGAGGCAGCAGUGGGGAAUAUUGGACAAUGGGCGAAAGCCUGAUCCAGCCAUGCCGCGUGUGUGAAGAAGGUCUUCGGAUUGUAAAGCACUUUAAGUUGGGAGGAAGGGCAGUAAGUUAAUACCUUGCUGUUUUGACGUUACCAACAGAAUAAGCACCGGCUUACUUCGU